UUCAGGUAUUUCGUGGUCAACCCAUUGUCAUACAGUUGCCUGUUUUAAUGUGUCUGAUGUAUUUAAUCAGCGUGUUCUUCUCCAGAUUUUUGACGACUGGUUUAAAGUUUCUUGUAAAAAUAUUCACUGGCCAGUUAAUGGACACGACCCAAACUAUAUCAAAUGAACAGUUAUUAAAAGCCACAGACACGCAGGAAGCGUCAGGUUUAACAAAAUUCCAGGUUAAUCAUGUGAAAGAAUUACUGAAGGGAAAGAACUCAUCUCUCCCGUCCUUGGAACAGUAAG